rfam:Xiphophorus maculatus strain JP 163 A Contig179.10, whole genome shotgun sequence.
ACUGUGUGUAGGGAUAAUUUCUAAACAUGGCAAUGUCUCUGUUCUUAUCAGUUUAAUGUCUGAUACAGAUGUUGCAUAUUAAAUUGAUUCAUGGAAGAGGGAGAUGGAACAGGGCUUAUUACUCCAUCCGCUCCACACAUCAGCCUGGUAUUGCAAUGCUUCCAGGAUCGGUGCAUCCUUC